UACGUAGGGCGCAAGCGUUAUCCGGAAUUAUUGGGCGUAAAGAGCUCGUAGGCGGUUUGUCGCGUCUGCCGUGAAAGUCCGGGGCUCAACUCCGGAUCUGCGGUGGGUACCGGCAGACUAGAGUGAUGUAGGGGAGACUGGAAUUCCUGGUGUAGCGGUGAAAUGCGCAGAUAUCAGGAGGAACACCGAUGGCGAAGGCAGGUCUCUGGGCAUUAACUGACGCUGAGGAGCGAAAGCAUGGGGAGCGAACAGG
rnacentral:rRNA from 1 species